rnacentral:rRNA from 1 species
GACAGAGGUGCCGAGCGUUAGGCGGAAUCACUGGGCUUAAAGCGUGUGUAGGCGGGUCGUUAAGUGUCUUGUGAAAUCCCACCGCUCAACGGUGGAACUGCUGGGCAUACUGGCGAUCUUGAGCCACCUAGGGGCAGACGGAACAAGCGGUGGAGCGGUGAAAUGCGUAGAUAUCAUUUGGAACGCCAAUGGUGAAAACAGACAGCUGGGGGUGUCCUGACACUGAGACGCGAAAGCCAGGGGAGCAAACGGG